AUUGAACGCUGGCGGCAGGCCUAACACAUGCAAGUCGAGCGGAAACGAGUUAUCUGAACCUUCGGGGGACGAUAACGGCGUCGAGCGGCGGACGGGUGAGUAAUGCCUAGGAAAUUGCCCUGAUGUGGGGGAUAACCAUUGGAAACGAUGGCUAAUACCGCAUAAUGCCUACGGGCCAAAGAGGGGGACCUUCGGGCCUCUCGCGUCAGGAUAUGCCUAGGUGGGAUUAGCUAGUUGGUGAGGUAAUGGCUCACCAAGGCGACGAUCCCUAGCUGGUCUGAGAGGAUGAUCAGCCACACUGGAACUGAGACACGGUCCAGACUCCUACGGGAGGCAGCAGUGGGGAAUAUUGCACAAUGGGCGCAAGCCUGAUGCAGCCAUGCCGCGUGUGUGAAGAAGGCCUUCGGGUUGUAAAGCACUUUCAGUCGUGAGGAAGGUGGUGUAGUUAAUAGCUGCAUUAUUUGACGUUAGCGACAGAAGAAGCACCGGCUAACUCCGUGCCAGCAGCCGCGGUAAUACGGAGGGUGCGAGCGUUAAUCGGAAUUACUGGGCGUAAAGCGCAUGCAGGUGGUUUGUUAAGUCAGAUGUGAAAGCCCGGGGCUCAACCUCGGAAUAGCAUUUGAAACUGGCAGACUAGAGUACUGUAGAGGGGGGUAGAAUUUCAGGUGUAGCGGUGAAAUGCGUAGAGAUCUGAAGGAAUACCGGUGGCGAAGGCGGCCCCCUGGACAGAUACUGACACUCAGAUGCGAAAGCGUGGGGAGCAAACAGGAUUAGAUACCCUGGUAGUCCACGCCGUAAACGAUGUCUACUUGGAGGUUGUGGCCUUGAGCCGUGGCUUUCGGAGCUAACGCGUUAAGUAGACCGCCUGGGGAGUACGGUCGCAAGAUUAAAAUCAAAUGAAUUGACGGGGGCCCGCACAAGCGGUGGAGCAUGUGGUUUAAUUCGAUGCAACGCGAAGAACCUUACCUACUCUUGACAUCCAGAGAACUUUCCAGAGAUGGAUUGGUGCCUUCGGGAACUCUGAGACAGGUGCUGCAUGGCUGUCGUCAGCUCGUGUUGUGAAAUGUUGGGUUAAGUCCCGCAACGAGCGCAACCCUUAUCCUUGUUUGCCAGCGAGUAAUGUCGGGAACUCCAGGGAGACUGCCGGUGAUAAACCGGAGGAAGGUGGGGACGACGUCAAGUCAUCAUGGCCCUUACGAGUAGGGCUACACACGUGCUACAAUGGCGCAUACAGAGGGCAGCAAGCUAGCGAUAGUGAGCGAAUCCCAAAAAGUGCGUCGUAGUCCGGAUUGGAGUCUGCAACUCGACUCCAUGAAGUCGGAAUCGCUAGUAAUCGUGGAUCAGAAUGCCACGGUGAAUACGUUCCCGGGCCUUGUACACACCGCCCGUCACACCAUGGGAGUGGGCUGCAAAAGAAGUAGGUAGUUUAACCUUCGGGAGGACGCUUACCACUUUGUGGUUCAUGACUGG
rnacentral:rRNA from 1 species